rnacentral:rRNA from 1 species
GGAGGCAGCUAACCACGGUAGGGUCAGCGACUGGGGUGAAGUCGUAACAAGGUAGCCGUAGGGGAACCUGCGGCUGGAUCACCUCCUUUCUAAGG